CACCAUAUGUGUAAGCUUGUACCUGGAAUUGGAAAAAUAACUGUGUGUGUGUGUCUGUCACAGGAAGCUGUCUCUGCACAGUUUGGCCAGGCCCUGUGCCCUGCUCACUUACACAUCCAGUUUACCCAGAACAGUGCUGUACAGUGCCCCUCGUUGCUGUCACAGUGCAGACAUUUGCUGUGUUAUGUACAAUUGGCCAUCUUGCAAAAUACAUUAGCACCUGAGGCGGUUAGACUCCGGUUUGUACUCGCCUGCUGAUGCAACAGCUUUUGCUCAGUUUGAAAGCAACGGAAAGAAUAGCGAGGAGUCCUUGAUAUGCAUCUAAGCAAUAACUUCCUCUUGCAAGCAAACCUUGCUGGCACAGCUCAUCACGCAGGAAGAGAUGCCCGUCCUCCUGCGAAAGCAGUUACUGAGGCUCCUACGAGCAUGUUCCAGGCUGGGCGUUCAUCCUUCCUCAGUCUAUUAACACACCUAUGCUGUUUUGAGAGAGCUCUCCCCACCCUUCAUCAAAAAUCACCCAAAAUGCUUGGAAUGAGUGGCAUGAAAAUAAUAAACAUUUUCAGCUGCCUUUCAGAUUCUGGAUGAAUUGUUUGUAAACAUCUUGUCUCGAACCAUCAAGAGGCGGAGCUAACAUCACUGAUAGAUGAUAAAUUCCGACACGGCGCUCUGAGAUUUCACGGCCACUGAAUGUAGGUUAAUAUGGGAUUCAACAGGAAAUCUGGCUUUUGUGUUGUGAUAUAUUAUGAAGGAACUUGUCAUUUGUCUGCAGAUUGCUAAUUGCUGCUUACUGCAUGUGCAAGAGGUUAAUUUGGGUAUGUUAUGACAGUAAUCAUAUGCACUAUCUUAAAAUAUAUAUACUCAUAAUCUGAUUGAUAAUCUGUCCGGUGGGAUUUGGGACGUUAUUUUGUAAGAUUAUGGCAAAGAAGAACUUUACAGUAAAUGCUGUCACAGUAGGCAGUAGUGUCCUUGAGUGCAGGCACGUGGGAUAGAGUGGAAUCGCGAGUCUGGUAUGAAAUACCUUUUUCCUUGCCCCUUAAUUUAGUCAUUCCCUGAGAUGUGUGAUUUAUUAUUUGUGAUGAUACAUUGAAAACAGAGGUCCUAUCUAUUCUAAAUGAAAAUGAUAUCCUAUUCUUAUUAUUGUUAAUGCUUUGUAUUCGGAGUAGCAUUUAAAGGCCUCGGAUUAAUUUGUGACCUCUUCAUGCUCAGAGCUGUAUGUACACACACAGUAAGCUCACUGCCCCAAAGACCUUACACUUUAAUUAAAUAAAGGUUGGAGGAAGGAAGUUUUAUUACCUCUGCCACAAAUGGGAAAUGAUAAGAGAGAGAAACUAAAAGGACUGAGAAUUACAGUCCUCCUGCAAUAAGUCUUGUAUUUGCCUGUAAUAUAUCCUCCCUUCCUGCUUUUGUUAAGCUGCUGUAAAUUGGUAGAUGGUUGGUCUCUUCCCCAGAGAUGGAGCUUACUAUAAUUCUGCAUAAUUUUCAAGGUUGUAUGGGAUGAAAGGAGUUACAGAUAGAUAACCCUUUAAUUUACAUCUGAUCAAGUUAUUCUGAAGAAAUACUUCUGUGGAAUAAGUACAUGCAUAUGCAUGUCGCAUGCAUUACUUGUUGCCAUGUGAGCAUGCUAUUGCAUAGAUUCUGUAUUCCCAGUGGUGUGUGCAGUUGGUGUGUACAUGUUUUAAGGUAUGUCACUAUAACUUUUCAAUGGUGGUUGUUAUCUCCUGUAGUUUGCUCUUAAAAGUAUUCAAAAAUAUUUAAAAGAAAAAAAAAAAAAGCAACAGCCCUCAAGAUGCUGGACUAUUCCACAGGAUUCAUAGGAGACUUAAAACACCAGUGCACACUUAGUCUCCCAGAAAUGCAUCAUCUUCUCCCCUUCUGGGAAUCUUAUUCUAUAGAAAGGGCUGAAAUUAAUUUUAAACAUUUUUAAUUAGAGCUUCCAGCUUAACAUCAAAAAAUAAAGCUAGAUCAGUACAGAUCUUGCUUGGAGAAUAAAAUUUUCCCUGUAGAGGAACAUGAGCCUGAAGAUAACUUGUUUUCCUUUUACUUGUAGUCAGUACAUGGAUGUUCAGCACAGUGAUCUUGGGCAGAAACUCUGGUAGUUUUAGAUAUGAUGGGAAGUGGGGGAGAAAAAACAAAGCAAAACAAAAAAAAAAAACCCCCCACACAAGGAACAUGUAAAAUCCAAGCACACCCAACCCCUAUCUUUGUAUCACAGCCAACCACUCUUUUUGUAUUUUAGUAUUUCUGCCAGUCACUGCUGUAUGUCAACAACAGUAAUCUUCUAUAAUGAUGUGUCUGCCUCACAGGUACGGUCCCCUCAUUUCUGUCUUGUCCUGCCCCUAUCUGGGAAAUGUGAACAGUUAUUUUCUUGCAGAUUUUGGAUCCCCUGAAUUAAAAGGACGCCAGAGAAGCAGACUUCUUUUUGAAAUGUA